UUGUGAAGGUUGGAGUAGUAUUUUCAUUCAGCCUUCAGUUGAAAGAGGUUUUUUAGCUCCUUUUUUGUGGCUUGUACAUCUGAAGUGAACAAGGAGAUCAGUGUGAUCGGAAAACUGUAACAAUUGAGCAGAGGAUAGAAAUCAAGCUGAGGCUGAAUCACUGUUUCCUACUACAUCUACCUGCAACCACAGUAUCCAGCACUCCAAAGGCGUGAACUGCAGCUCCGUCCAUUUUAAAUGACUGGCUCUUUCACCUGUGCUACAUGCUGUGGGACAUUAUGCAAAUGUACCAUUCCCCUCGCUAGCAGACCCCUCUGCUCUCCGCCUGUAAUCAGACGUGAUUAUGCACUGUUGGCUGCAAACGCUUCUUCAGCAAAUAAAUUCACAAUGACCAUUAUCAUAUGCAGACCUGUGGGACGAGCAGAAAGCCCAUGGAGGGAACAAACCUGCAAAGACCCACAUCACAGCACCUCACAAUCACACAGGACCAUGUUCGGUGAAGCUCAAUCAGUCUUGUGUUCCUGUCUUUGUGUUACCAUGGAGGACUAACUCUGGCCUCAUUACAGGGAACAGAUUCUGCACUGAUGAAAGCCUGUUGGCCAUGCAAAAUAUCUGGUUCAAUAUUUCAAUAUUUCAUCAUGCCCUUACGGCAGAGAGAGUAAACAGCACUCUGCAAUUCCCCUGAACUCCCAUCUCUUUUUCUAUGCUAACAUAUCUGUAUUUAGUCUCAUUUGGUCCAUUCUAAUCUUUCUAGUGUCUUUAUGUUUCUCCUCUCCCUACAUUUAUUUCCUUUUCUUUCCCCUAUGUCGUUUUCUUUCUCCCUUUCUGUCUGAUUCAAAUUAUGUUAACCAAGUGCACUACAGAGUGCAUAGUUGGUAGUUCGAAGGUCCCUGGAGAGUGGAGCUUUUCCAGUAAAUAUACAGCUGUGCCUUUCAGAAAUUUCAAAAUCUGUUACAUUAUGUUUAUUUUGAAACAUCAGUGACUGCAACUUUAAGGUCCUCAAAAUGCUUUCUUGUUCAUGAGCCGGGCUUCUGCUAAAUCCUCUUACUCGCUAAAGAUGU